GUACUACUUUUGUGUUAGAAUUGAAUUCUUUUAUUAAUCACGACGAACUGUGGCUCUGAUAACCCUGAGCGUCUCGGAAUAGCUGGAAACCCUAUCAGUUUAAUUUAAUUACAAGAGAGAGUACAUGCGAUGUGUUGAAAACAAGUGUAGUUGAAUUGUAAAGAUGGUUUCAGUAUAAUUCAGAUGUAACUACGAGCUAAAAAUCAAUAAUAAAGUCAUUCGGAUAUGUCCAAAGAGUAAUGUCUCAUAGCCUUGUUUACUGACGCGCGGAGAGUCAGCUAAGGUCAUUAUUGCAAGGAUGUAUAAUCAGGUUACCGAUAUAGGCAAACGGCAAAAACCCUUCUCGAAUUUUAAGGUCUUCCUAUUUUAACCAACUCAUUCAUCAUUUAGUCAAAAAAAGGACAAAGGAUUACCCUCAUAACUACCCUUUCGUUUCACUAUUUUGGAUUUAAGAAGACAAUUACCCGCUUUUCAAUACUAUUUAAAAAGUAAAAGCGAUGUCCAGUCAGUGACCGCAGCGCUCGAGGAAGGAAAUAAUUUAAGCGGAACUUGUUGUGACGUUGGCAUUGAUUCAAAAGUCCUAUGAGUAAUAAACGCAGUAUUAUUAUUUAAAUUAUAUUUUAUCUCCGUCUUUGCUGGGGUUAAAAUUUC